rnacentral:piRNA from 1 species
UAGUCAAACAAAGAUAUUGGGUA